ensembl:ncRNA mir-311 mir-311 stem loop
UCUAGAUCAUUUUUCGGACGGUAUAUGGGUUAAUAUUUCAUUUGUCGAAUAUAUUGCACAUUCACCGGCCUGAAAAUAUCAAGA